ensembl:miRNA
AAGGUGACAGUUGUUGUGGACACCUACCUUAACCCCUUGGUGGUUCUCACUCCGGUGGCCAUCGCUAACUGUCACCAAGA